AGCAAACCUGCCAAGUUGGAUCCAAGACGAGCUAAACGGGGAAAAUAUUUUGAAGCUUAAAUAUUGAAGCACUUGGGCCAAGUACAUGGACCAAGAAAUUCGCACAAAUGGGCCAAUCACCAGUAAGCGGACCAAGCCCUUCACGAGGACCCGCCAGCGCGCAUGGCCUGCCUUCAACGCCAACUCCACCUUGCACAUGGGCCAUGCAAAGCUCAAUCCACGCACAUGGACCCCAUCAUGGGCCCGCGCUCCACGCUCCCACACCGCCAAUGCAAUUCACAUGAC
rnacentral:lncRNA from 1 species